AGAGGGGUGCAAGCGUUAAUCGGAAUUACUGGGCGUAAAGGGCGCGUAGGUGGUUAAAUAAGUUGGCUGUGAAAUGUCUGGGGCUUAACCUGGGCCAGUCAGCCAAAACUGUAGAACUAGAGUACGGUAGAGGAUAGUGGAAUUUCCGGUGUAGCGGUGAAAUGCGUAGAUAUCGGAAGGAACAUCAGUGGCGAAGGCGACUAUCUGGACUGAUACUGACACUGAGGCGCGAAAGCGUGGGGAGCAAACAGGAUUAGAUACCCUGGUAGUCCACGCUGUAAACGAUGACAACUAGCCGUUGGCCAAGAAUAAUUGGUAAGUGGCGUAGCAAACGCGAUAAGUUGUCCGCCUGGGGAGUACGGCCGCAAGGUUA
rnacentral:rRNA from 1 species